rnacentral:rRNA from 1 species
AACGCUAGCUACAGGCUUAACACAUGCAAGUCGAGGGGAAACGAUAUUGGAAGCUUGCUUCCGAUAGGCGUCGACCGGCGCACGGGUGAGUAACGCGUAUCCAACCUGCCCACCACUUGGGGAUAACCUUGCGAAAGUAAGACUAAUACCCAAUGAUAUCUCUAGAAGACAUCUGAAAGAGAUUAAGGAUUUAUCGGUGAUGGAUGGGGAUGCGUCUGAUUAGCUUGUUGGCGGGGUAAUGGCCCACCAAGGCAACGAUCAGUAGGGGUUCUGAGAGGAAGGUCCCCCACAUUGGAACUGAGACACGGUCCAAACUCCUACGGGAGGCAGCAGUGAGGAAUAUUGGUCAAUGGACGAGAGUCUGAACCAGCCAAGUAGCGUGCAGGAUGACGGCCCUAUGGGUUGUAAACUGCUUUUAUAAGGGAAUAAAGUGAGUCUCGUGAGACUUUUUGCAUGUACCUUAUGAAUAAGGACCGGCUAAUUCCGUGCCAGCAGCCGCGGUAAUACGGAAGGUCCGGGCGUUAUCCGGAUUUAUUGGGUUUAAAGGGAGCGUAGGCCGGAGAUUAAGCGUGUUGUGAAAUGUAGACGCUCAACGUCUGCACUGCAGCGCGAACUGGUUUCCUUGAGUACGCACAAAGUGGGCGGAAUUCGUGGUGUAGCGGUGAAAUGCUUAGAUAUCACGAAGAACUCCGAUUG